rnacentral:ncRNA from 1 species
UUAAAAGCAUUGAAGGGGAAGAGUAUAUAUUAUUCUUGAAAUAAAGAGAGGGAAAUUAGGCAUAUGCAACAUGAAAUAGACUAGUUAUUUAUUACAAUGCCUUAGGUGAGAGUUUUCCAUGAUAGAUGUGUAGAAGGUAGCCCUGGAGCUUCAAAUAGAAAUCUAUAUAGAGAGUAGAGUUUGACGAGAUCCCAUCGUUAAAGGGAGCUAAAGUAUGCUAUAUACUUUUUAAAGUGUGUACAGUUUUUGUACGAAAAAAGGUGGUACCGCGGAGUUUACAACUUCGUCCUUAGU